CUCGAUUGUCGAUCAAUACGAACGCUUGCAAAACGGAUGGCACAAUGGUGGUGAAUUAAAUUAUUAAGAUCUCGGCGAUAUGCGAUGUUAGUCGGUGGCUAUUCCAGUGUGGAAAAUUCAGGAAAGCUUGGUGGUUUCUAUUCGUGACUCGGCGUUAGUCUUCGAAGGAUUUACCAAAGAAAUGCAGCAUAACGCCGACUGUAUCAGAAUAUCUGAUGAUCCCUUAUGGGGUUUGCCAUGCACCUCCAAGCGAAUUGAGAAGGUACCACAGGGGCGCAGACCGACGAAAUGGAGCCAUUCAAUGCGAGUGGUGAACGUUAGUGAAGGAAACCUCCAAAAUAUGGGCUACAGGAAUCUAGAACAUUGGUUAGAGGAGGACAACAAUGUCUACGUUGGACGCACCCUUAGCAAGUAUGCUCCAAAUUACACGGCCAAACCUGGGAGUGACCCGGACAAGUGGGGCAACCCGUAUAGUCUGAAUGAAUACUCCAGGGAAGAGUGUUGUCGGAAAUAUGAGGCGCACGCCCGUGAGAAUCUUUUGGGACAGUUACAUGAGCUGACGGGUAAAGUGUUGGGAUGUUGGUGUCAUCCACUGCAAUGCCACGGGGAUGUGUUGAUGAAGUUACACAAGGAAUACAUCGGGAACUCUUGAAAUAAGCCAUGUCACAAUCUAGGCAGAUUGUGCAGCGAAAUAACUAACAAUGCAUUUUAGCUCAUCCAUUUACUAGAUGGGGAUGGGAAUGGAGAUGGACUGCAUAUCGGUUGCUGCUCCUGGAUGGACAAGACAUCAUGAACACAUGGAUUGAGAAUAGUCUCCUUUGACAUCAUCCUGGCACCAGUUGUUUUUUAAUAUACCUUCGCUUCUCGAUAUAUGACGUAGGAGUAAAAAGGCCCGAUCACAGGAUGCUUCCACAUGGACGGUCUGACCCUUCAUCCAACGCGACUGCUUGGCUGCGAUGCGUCAGACUUCCUUUUCAUCACGUUGUAGCCAUAUCUCGUACGAUCCAUCAAAAGGAGGGUUGGUAGUCCAAUCUUGCAGAAUGCAGCUGUAUUAUUCUGCUGCAUGUACAACUAGGAGAUCUGUAUGGUUUCUCCCAAAGUGGAGACACUCCAGUUCGUAUGUAUUUGUCACCGACACGUGUCACAACCUGUCCCUGCAUCUUAGAUUGUAAUCGAAAAUGCCAUUUUCAACUUGAGACAACUGGUAUGAGCAGAGACAUAUUAUUUUACAUAUGGUUUCCACAUGUGUCACAACCGAUCACUGUCUCCGUGAUUGUGAGAGAACUGUUAUGAUUUCUUCAAAGGCAGAGAUGGUCCAUUUUACUUAUCAUAUUCACACGCGUCACAACCUGUCGCUGUCUCCAAGACAAUAUUCGAAAGUGCCAUUUUCAAACAUGAGAGACAAUUGUACAUAGUCCCUGGAGUGUGUCUCUCAUAUUAAAUCUUCUGCCCCAGCAAGCGAGGGGACGGAAGACAUACCUGUUGUGUGCUUAUGCAAGAGAUAGUGCCUGAGCACACUCCCCUAGUCUAGUGAGGUUAUUUUAUUCAUACAUGUAACUUUGAAAACCCAAGAGACAAAUAACAUUAUUCAUUAUAUACAGAAAA